GGUGGAAACUACAGAACUACCACCCUGUAAGAGAGGGAGGAGGAGGAGGGUCUCGCUUGAUGCUAGUGUGGACCGAUCAAAGUUCAGUAGCACCUACAGAUGGAGAAAGCUUCUUCACUUUGGCUGCUCUUUUCAACCUCACUGCUGAUCUGCACAACAAACCAAGCUCGUCUGACUGUGAGUCCCAGCAGCUCUCAGUUCUUUAAAGGAGACUUUGUGUCUCUGAGCUGUGAGGAGGACGACAGCUCUGCUGGAUGGACUCUGAGGAGAAACACAAGCAGAGACACCGGAGCUGAGUGUGGAGAUGAGUGGGGAAGAUCAUCUGGUUCUUCCUGUAACAUCAGCUAC